AUUAAUUGUACCGUCCAUCCGCGCGCAACUUUUUCCUACCGCACGAUUUGGCAGACGAGGAAUCCAUGCGCGAAGACUUCGCUCCUCCUCCACCCGCGGCCACGGAGACCGCGUGCUUCUCUUCCUCGCUCGCUCACUCCUCGCGUCCUCGCAGGAGCGACUCCUCGCUGCCGCCGCUCCUCCGCGUCCUCGCCGGAGCCGCCGCGGCCGUCCUCCUUCUUCCCCACCGCCGCGGCUGUCCUCCUUGCUCGCUCCUCCUCCGCCCCGCUGCCGGCGCCGCCGCGGCCGUCCUCCUUCCCCACCGCCGCGGCAGUCCUCCUCGCUCGCUCCUCCUCCGCCCCACUGCCGACGCCGCCGCGGCUGUCCUCCUCGCUCGCUCCUCCUCCGCCCCGCUGCCGGCGCUACGCCGCGUCCUCGCCGGAGCCGCCGCCGGAGCCGACUUCGGCCCCUUCUCCGGCGCCGGAACCGACCUCGACCUCGGCCCCUAGAGUGAUCGUCAAUAGGUCCAGUGGGCUGGAGCUACCAAUUCAUCUAGGUCUUGCCCUGGUAAUGCUCCACUUCCAAAAUUACCUGACAACUACAACUUCUUGGUGAUAGCUGCUGCGUUGAAAGAGUCUGGUCUUGGAUCUUCUUGGUUUUGACUUGACCAAAAGCAAUGGAUAGUCAGGCACAUAUUCCUUUAGAAGAAACAUCUCUGCAUGCUUUGCUUUGUUGAGUUGAUAAAGUGGGUCAAAACGGGAGUCCUAAUGUGCAAGCAGCUGGUCAAGAAGCUGAGGAUAUCCCAUUCCAAAAAAAAAGUGCCUUCUUUGUAUGUAAUCAAGUCAUGCAGACUUAAUCUUUGAUCAAGCCAUGAUGACAGAUUUUGUUACUAUCUGAAUUUGUCGUAUGAAAACGACAAAUUUCAUUCUCACAGGCAUAAUUGUAGACUAUCAAUACUUUGAAAAGUUAGUUGUGACAACAUGAGCAGCCGUCAAGAAGAAGAAAGAGCAUGAAUUCCAUGACUAAAUCUUGUGGUCUAUUUUGUAAAUCCAUUACCUCAGUAAAACUUUUAGCACCCAAUCUGCAUAUCAUAACUGAAUAUCCACCUAUUAUUGUGGCCUACCAUUUCAUUUUCCAAUUCUAUGCUCUAGAAGUUUGGAACUACUACAUGCACAAUUUCAUUUUUCUUACACUGAUUCUGCUGCAUGCAUUUUCUUAUAAAGAGACCUUUUCAAUGGCAUAAGUUUUCAUCUGAAUUCUCAAUGCAUCUUGCUUGAUGGAUCCAUUCAGCAUAAUCUGAUGGUACGAGGCAUGCACUUCAUAAGUAUGAUGCAAGUUAUGUUAGUUCGGGGUUUGCCAUUAAGAUCAUAGUUAGGGGGGAAAUAUUUUCAGUGUUGCUAGCUAGCUCGAGGGAAUGGUAUGUUUCGAAACAAACAAGCCAUCUAUAUUUGCAGUUUGAUAUUCUGGUUUGCCUCUAAAAUCUUGGGUACAUUCUUAGCAGAAAUGCUUUUCAUGCGUUUUAAGAAGAGAGCUUCCAUAUAUUUUAGUUAUAUCUGUAUUUGCUGUUCGAUAUUUUAUUUUCGCAAGUUCAGUUCAUGUAUGGCUUUAAGAAGUUUUGUGGGACAAAAUCUCUAUGUAUAUUGUGUUUUUCUGAACAAGGUGAAAUAAUGUUGCUCCAUAUGGAGAUGGGAUAUGCCCUGUCUAGCUAAGUUAUAAGCUGUGAAUUGUAGAUUUGUAGAAGCUGUUCCAGAAUAGUUUACUCUUGUUUUACAAUGUCAAGUCUGGUUUAUGAGGUUUGUAUCUAAGUCAAAUUAAUGUUUUUUUUUGCGGGGACAAAUUAAUGUUUUUUUAGCAAACACAUAUGCUUCAGUUUUAUUAUCCUUGAGCAACCAAGUUUACAAUUGUGUCGUUUUGAGAAUGCAAUACUGCAAGAGUAUUUGACAAGACUUACUUGAUUUUCAUGGAUAUGCAGUCAGACACAGGAGUCUAGCACUUUGAGAUGUCCUUCUCUAGGAGUGUAAAUUGGCACUUGACAGUUUUACGUAUUUUGUCAACUACUCAAACCAAUAUCAAUUUGUAUUGCAGAAUAUUUGUAAAAAAAACUCAAAUUUGCAUGUGAUUAGUGGUUGAUAAAAUUUUGCCUUCAGUUUAGUUCCUUUCAUGCUUGACACCGUUGAUUCUUGUUUAAAUUUUUACUUCUCUUCAAACUUUCACCUCUUAAAAUGUAUUCACUU
rnacentral:lncRNA from 1 species